GUGUGUGUGUGUGUGUGUGUGUGUGUGUGUGUGUAUGUAUAUGUGUAUAUAUACAUAUAUAUGUAUACACACACACACACACACACACUA